rnacentral:lncRNA from 1 species
GUAAAGGAUGGAACAAUCUAAGUUUGUCACUGCUUAUGUAAUAAUUGAAAUCCUACCUCACUGACAUUUAAUAUUGUUAUUCUAUUCAUUUACUAAUUCAUUUCACUCAUUUAUUCAGUUAUCUAUUUGGUUAUUGCCAAUCAGAUAGAUAUGAAAUGGUGUUUCUUCAUGUUUGUAUUUGCAAUUUCUCUCAUAUCUGAUAAGUUCACAACUCUGUCUCUGUCUUAUAUCUGUGUGUGUGUGUGUGUGUGUGCACAUACACAUUCAUACAGCAUAGGCUCACCAUUCAUAUCCAUUUUCUGUAGGAUGUGUGUCUUUCCUCACUUUCAUAUUGAACUUCACCUUUUACUUAUUGUUUUUUCUUUUUUUGUACACUCUGCUGAUUUUUUUAGCUACAUGUGCUACAGACGUUGUGAUUUUAUAAGCAGAAUGUCUUACAAAGUUAUAUAACGUGUGACCUGACAUAUUCCACAAAGAACUCUGUUCUCUUUAAUGCAUUUCUUCUCUUAGAUAUUGAAUUUUCUUGUCCAUGGGUCCAGUAUAUAAAGAUUAUCCUUUCAUGUCCUAGUUUUUCUUUAAUUUCUUUCAAAGUAAGGGACAGUCCUGAAUGGAAAUAUUGACCUUUUUUAGUUCUA